CCCUUAGAUGUCCUGAGCUGCACGCGUACUACAAUGGCACUUUCAACGAGUUUUUCCUAGUCCGAAAGGAUUUGGGUAAUCUUUUUAGGGAGUGCCGUGCUUGGGAUAGAUCUUUGUAAUUGUGGAUCUUGAACUAGGAAUUCCUAGUAAGCGCGAUUCAUCAAAUCGUGCUGAUUACGUCCCUGCAAAAUGUACACACCGCCCGUCGCUUUUACCGAUGAGUGUUCAGGUGAGUCUUCUCGAUAGCCUCACAGCUAAACAUUAAACAAACCUUAGCACUUAGAGGAAAAAGAAGUCGUANCA
rnacentral:rRNA from 1 species